AAACACCCCGUCAAUUCCAUGAUGGAGGUAGCUAAAUCAUCCUUGCAUUUAUAUACAGGUACCAUUCUUAUUCUGGGCACCACAACCUCAUCGCUGCUCAAAUCCUUGGACAUCUGGUGGGUCAUCAACUCCCUCUUCUCACCCACAUCUCUACGUUUUCUAUCCUAUGCUAAUUCUUCUACAGGUUCCGCAUAGACAAACGAAAAUAAGAGCAACAGGUACAGAGUCCGUUGCAUCGAGGCAAAAGGAUACUUCACAGUCCGUGGUCCAGUUGCAUCUAUCUAGAUUGUUGGAAAACGGGAGAACCAUGCCACGCCAUGUUUGCAUAGAGGAAUCACACUCCAUCGGUCAUUGGAUCCAGAGUAGUUGUUUCAUCCUGUUGUAAAUUAUAGUUCAAAAUAUUAUGUAUCGAUGAUGGCAAGAAAGAUGUCAUCUUUAUGUAUAUCUAUCACUAUCCACCUGACCCAUGCGUGCAAGAAACAUGAGCUAAGAUUCAUAGAAUAGAAACGGUAUGUACAUGAGUAAUUUUGCUAUGAUGUAACAAACUGAACAAUGAGACUGCAUCUUUUAGCUGGAUAGAAUCAUCCUG